GCCGACUUGGCGCAAUGGUAGCGCACCACUCUUGUAAAGUGGGGGUUACGGGUUCAAGUCCCGUAGUCGGCU
rnacentral:tRNA from 1 species